CGAGAUGUAAACACAAAGCCAACGAAUGAAAGAUUGAAAGAAAUGCUUUUUCAAAUGGAAAAUCAGAAAUUAUAAGAUAUGAAUUUGGAACUUUUAGAAUCUUUUGGGCAGAACUACCCAGAGGAUUUUGAUGGAGCCUUGGACUGCAUCAGCAUUGCCAUUACCUGUGCCUUCAACAGACAGGGAACCUUAUUAGCUGUGGGUUGUAACGAUGGUAGAAUUGUCAUAUGGGAUUUCCUGACAAGAGGAAUUGCCAAAAUAAUUAGUGCUCAUGUCCAUCCUGUAUGCAG